rnacentral:rRNA from 1 species
AGUCAAGUAAUUAAGUGCAUGUGGUGGAUGCCUUGGCAGUCAGAGGCGAUGAAAGACGUGAUAGCCUGCGAAAAGCUCCGGGGAGGCGGCAAAUAUCCUUUGAUCCGGAGAUGUCUGAAUGGGGGAACCCACCUACUUUAAGGUAGGUAUUGCAACAUGAAUACAUAGUGUUGCAAGGCGAACGAGGGGAAGUGAAACAUCUCAGUACCCUUAGGAAAAGAAAUCAAUUGAGAUUCCCUCAGUAGCGGCGAGCGAACGGGGAUCAGCCCAUUAAGUUAUGUGUGUUUUAGUGGAACGCUCUGGGAAGUGCGAACGUAGAGGGUGAUAUUCCCGUACACGAAAGGGCACACAUAAUGAUGACGAGUAGGGCGAGGCACGUGAAACCUUGUCUGAAUAUGGGGGGACCAUCCUCCAAGGCUAAAUACUCCUGACUGACCGAUAGUGAACCAGUACCGUGAGGGAAAGGCGAAAAGAACCCCUGUGAGGGGAGUGAAAUAGAUCCUGAAACCGCAUGCAUACAAGCAGUGGGAGCACCUUCGUGGUGUGACUGCGUACCUUUUGUAUAAUGGGUCAGCGACUUAUAUUCAGUAGCGAGGUUAACCGUAUAGGGGAGCCGUAGAGAAAUCGAGUCUUAAUAGGGCGUUUAGUUGCUGGGUAUAGACCCGAAACCAGGCGAUCUAUCCAUGAGCAGGUUGAAGGUUGGGUAACACUAACUGGAGGACCGAACCCACUGUCGUUGAAAAGCCAGGGGAUGACUUGUGGAUAGGGGUGAAAGGCUAAUCAAGCCUGGUGAUAGCUGGUUCUCCCCGAAAGCUAUUUAGGUAGCGCCUCGGACGAAUACCAUAGGGGGUAGAGCACUGUUUCGGCUAGGGGGUCAUCCCGACUUACCAAACCGAUGCAAACUCCGAAUACCUAUGAGUACUAUCCGGGAGACAGACUGCGGGUGCUAACGUCCGUAGUCAAGAGGAAAACAAUCCAGACCGCCAGCUAAGGCCCCAAAAUCAUAGUUAAGUGGGAAACGAUGUGGGAAGGCAUAGACAGCUAGGAGGUUGGCUUAGAAGCAGCCACCCUUUAAAGAAAGCGUAAUAGCUCACUAGUCGAGUCGGCCUGCGCGGAAGAUGUAACGGGGCUAAAACUAUGUGCCGAAGCUGCGGAUGUAUACUUUGUAUACGUGGUAGGGGAGCGUUCUGUAAGCCGAUGAAGGUGUGUUGAGAAGCAUGCUGGAGGUAUCAGAAGUGCGAAUGCUGACGUGAGUAACGACAAAACGGGUGAAAAACCCGUUCGCCGAAAGACCAAGGGUUCCAGUCCAACGUUAAUCGGGGCUGGGUGAGUCGACCCCUAAGGCGAGGCCGAAAGGCGUAGUCGAUGGGAAAAUGGUUAAUAUUCCAUUACUUCUGUGUAAUGCGAUGAGAGGACGGAGAAGGCUAAAUCAGCCUGGCGUUGGUUGUCCAGGUGAAAGGAUGUAGGCAUGUAUCUUAGGCAAAUCCGGGGUACUCUAUGCUGAGAUCUGAUAGCAAGCUGUACUUGUAC